rnacentral:lncRNA from 1 species
CGCCGCGGCGGGACUGGACCGAGCCUCGCCGGCGCGCACCUGCCCGCAGCGCCCGCGGAGCGCGCAGCGCGGCCCGAGCGCGACGACCUGCCGAGCGGCGGCCGAGGCGGCGGUGUGGGCGCGUCAGGCCGCGACGAGGGCGCUGAGACAAAUUUACAUGUAUUGGAGACCAGACCAGAAGCCCUUCUGAAUUAAGAUCUCACAUUCUUGAAGGUGGCAUUGAAGAGCACUAAGAUCGGAAGAUGAGUGAGCUUGACCAGUUACGGCAGGAGGCCGAGCAACUUAAGAACCAGAUUCGAGUAUGUAGUUGUGUGUGCUUGGUUUUAUUAAUCAUUUGAGUUUCAGGUUAGAUGUUACUUGUUUUAGGAAAAAUGGUUUACAGGAUGACUUGUUCUAUGUUUUAUAUGAAAUUGAAUCUUAGUUGGCCCAGGAUGUACUAAUUAUAGAUCUAGAUACUUAGCCUAGUACAUUGUUUUUGGGAUUUUGCUUUCUGUAUACAAUUUGUUAUUUGAAUAUACACCAGAUGUCUCCGUAGAA